UUCAACUGCUGCAGGAGGGACGCGUUGGGGGUGGCACCUGGGCCAGUGUGGUUUGGGUCCCCUAAGCCCUGUUCCCACUGCGCUAUGCCCUGGAAAGAACAUUUCCAGGAGAUGGGGAAAGAAAAGCCACAGCACCAGGGACUGGAACCCGAACCUUCUCACUGAGCUCAGCCUCUCCCUUCUUCCUUUUGUAUUUGGCACAAGUUUUCCUUAAGUUGCUGCUAAGUUUCCCUUGCUGGUCUUGAACUUCAGAUUCUCCUGCUUCAGCCUCCCAGAGGGCUGGGGUUACAGUUUUCCUGGGUGUUCAACAACUGAACUUUGGAGAGCAGAGGCAGAAAAAAUAACUGGGUAAGAGGACAGCCAAUAUUUUGGCCCUGGUCCUCCCAUGUCAACAAGGACCCAGAAGCUGAGGGGAUCUUUUCUACAGGAUCUUACAACUUUGUUAAAAUGGUGGUACUGAGCUGGAAAACGAUUUCUGAGCAAAAGAUUUUUCCUGCGGCUAGCUGACCUAAUUGACAAAGAGCCACCCUCAGCUCAUAACCCUCCCACACUCAACACAUGUCCUCCUUCAUUGUCCUUUGUUCUCAGGAAGUGUUUGUACCCAGUAUACUUUUCUAUCAAAUCUUGUAAACUAAAUGUAACUUCCUAAAUGCCUUAAACUGAUUAUAAAUGCCUUGCUUCUGUAUCCCCACCCCCUUCCCUUAAUCCAUAUAAACCCUGUUCAUUUCCAGCUCUGGGCUGAUCCCUCCGUGGAGAAAUCCCCAUCUGUCCGCCACUUGCCUCCAAUCUCAGAGUGCGUUCGAUUCUUCUUGGCCUGAUCUUAUUAUACCACUAAGAGCUGCCACACUGUGGACUGUAAGUUCGCUGUUACGGUACAGUACAGAACAACUGUAAAUAAACUAUGUUUACUUGUACAGAUACCUCAAAAAGGUAAGGUGAACUACUUCUGAAAGUUGUUCCAAUCUACAAAUGCAGUAAUGCAAGGUCUGUUCAUAUCUGUGAAAGUUCAUAACUCAAAUGUCUGUAAGUCAGGGAUUUGUUGUAUACUACAAUUAGUGCCACCCAACCCAUAAGAUCCAGCUAUGCAUCAGAUACCUGGGUGGGUGACCAGAACACCUGGAGCCAUCCCAUCCCCAAAAUGUUCCCGUUUUAGAAGUCACAGAUAAGCCAAGGUUAGUGAUGUCAGACAUGUACCCUUGCUAAGUGGCCCUAUCCCUAUUGGAUGAAUAUUAGCUAAGUGGCUAUACUUGUAAUCUUAUUGGUUGAUUAUAUCUUACCUACUUUGUACCCAUAUUUGCUGUAUAAAUUACUCCUGACAAAGGGCCUUGGUGGCAACCCACUUUCAGGACCACUCCUGUCUCUCAGGAGCUAUCUUUCAAUAAAUCUUUCAUAUCGU
rnacentral:lncRNA from 1 species